GUGAAAAAAGAAAUGGUGGUAAACAAAAUAAAUAUCAGAUUUAAAAAUUAUUGACCGAUUAUUCAGCAACUGAAUAUUCUAAAAUCCUGCCCGAAAGGUGGUGGGGUGGUCAUGUUAUCAUUUUGGCGGCCUUCUGCCAAGUAGUCCAUCCCUGGAUCGAUCCUGACGUCAAACGGUACAAUUAUAAUCGUGAUUAUUUAUCGAACUCAAAAAUAAAAAUCACAACAGGUAAUAAUACAUCAGCAUUGUGUUUUUUUUUUUAUUAUUAUUAUUUGGACUCGAAAAUCCGCCGCCGUGUAAAAACUGAAACGUUAGUUUGUCGUGCACGCCGACUCUAAAUUUAAGCACAAAACAUCCUUGGGCGGACUAUGGAAAUCGACGAUUUAAAAAUAAAUGACCCGCUGGCGGACGCGCCUAUGUUUCCCGUGUUUUACAUUAUAAUAUCGCCUAUCGUUUCGUCAGAUGUUGCUUUUCCCCAUUUACUACUCAUUUUGUGUUCAUAUUAAAAACCCAACUUUUUCGACAACUAACGUCAAACUUUAUUACAGAUGAAUCUCCAAUUUUAUUUUAUUUUGUAGUUCAUCCUAUUUAAGAAUUUGUAAGAAUUUUUCUAUAACCCAAAGUUUUAAACCGAAAAAUUAGAGCACACGUCAAGAUUUUUUUAAUUCAAGAAACGAUGUUUUAACAAUAUCAGAAAUUAGUCAUCCCUAAUUGGUCAGUGGUCACUUGGUUAAUCGAGCGUAUUUUAUUCUGACGACUUCCUUUCAUUUGUGUGAGGUAUAUAUACAUCAUGUUACGCGCGUUUGCCAAUAUUCUUCCCCAUACCGCACCACCAUCUAUUUUGCCCACACACGUCAACACCAAACGUCUCGAACGCCCAGGAUAUAAAAUAUUAUUUUUUAUUUGGUUCAUAAUAUUUUAUAACGUUCAGUAUAAAAUAACAAUAACCUAACAUGAACAAUAUUUCUGUUACAUUUCUCAUUAAGUGUAAAAAUAAAAAUAAUAAUUAACAAUAAAAUAAUAUAAACAGAGAAUAAACAUAUUUAAAUAUUAAACAUUAUGAAUAUUGGACAUAUUAUAUAGCAUGCUGACCCUGUCUUUUCCUAUUUCACACUUAUCUGAACCACUUAUCUGGAGCAUGUAUAUGUCGCGGACAGCGGUAAUUAAUG